CCCAGCGAGCAGAGGGGUAACCGCGGUCACUUUUCGGUCACCUGACGAAAGUUGAGCAAAGUGUGGUUUUGUGUUUCAGGCAUGAUCCUGAUUCAUGUUUCAUUGGAAUUUUUUUGAAAUUUUGCUUGGAUCAUGCAAAUUUUGAGUGCCCAGUCUUGGGCACCCGAUGGGCACCUUUCGGUUACCCGGAGCGGGCAGGGGGUCACUUGCGGUCACCUAACAAAAUUAAAACUAAGGGUGAUUUUGCAUUUCAGGCAUGAUCCUGAAUCAUGAUUCAUUAAAUUUUUGUCUAAAUUUGGCUUGGAUCACCGAAAUUGCCACUGCCCAGUCUUGGGCACCCAUCGGGCACCUUUCGGAUACUCGGAGUGGGCAGGGGGUUACUUGCGGUCACCUAACAAAAUUAAAACUAAGAGUGAUUUUGCAUUUCAGGCAUGAUCCUGAUUCAUGUUUCAUUGGAUUUUUUUUAAAUUUGGCUUGGAUCAUGCAAAUUUUGAGUGCCCAGUCUUGGGCACCCGAUGGGCACCUUUCGGUUACCUGGAGCGGGCAGGGGGUUACUUGCGGUCACCUAACAAAAUUAAAAUUAAGGGUGAUUUUGCAUUUCAGGCAUGAUCCUGAAUCAUGUUUCAUCGGAUUUUUUUCGAAAUUUGGCUCGGAUCACCGAAAUUGCCCGUGCCCAGUCUUGGGCACCCAUCGGGCACCUUUCGGAUACUCGGAGUGGGCAGGCGGUUAACCAUGGUCACUUGCGGUCACCAAAAAAUUAAACUAAGAGUGGUUUUGCAUUUCAGGCAUGACCCUGAACCUGGCUUCGUUGGAAUUUUUUAUAUUUGGCUGGGAUCACCUAAAAUUGCCAGUGCCCAGUCGUGGGCAACCAUCGGGCAGCUUUCGGGUAGCUCGGAUCGGAUAACUGCGGUGUGACCGGAUCAUGAACUGUGUUCGUAAAAUUUUGGGCACAGAAAAAAAAUAUUGUUUUGGUUAUUGUUAGGAAUGAAAAAUAAAUUUUUUAUGCAUUUUAAUAUAUGAUUGCUUAAAAGGGGCAACUUUUGGUUACCCAAUGGUUAACCAAUGCGCGGGCACUUUUUUCCUUUACUUGCUUUUUUACCCUCAAAUUUUGUCAGUUUUUCGUCACCACAAAAGUUUUAACUUAUUUUGGAAAAUAUUUUUGUAAAAGUAGUAAAAUUACACAAAUAAAUAAAAAAACUUUGAUAACCAAAAUGGGUUAACCAAUGGGCAACCAAUGAGCAACCUAAAAUAACCACCGUAAAUUCUUGAGUUCAUGUUUCGUAGAAAUUAUUUUUUAGAAAUUUAUUUGGUUAUAACACUAAUUAGCAUUUCAAACUCUUUAAAUUAACUCGUUUUGAGCACUUAUUCAUGCUCAGCAUUAUCGCGCGCGUUUCUAUGUAACACUCGUCAACCGCGCGUGUGGCGCCACUGUCGGCAGCAGCACCAGCUGCUGCUGCCGGCUGCCUAUGGCUGAUCUGGCUGAUCUGGCUCAGUUACUGACUGACUGUAAACAAGCAUGACGGUUGAGACGCGCUGCGAUUGCAUCAUCAUUGUUAGCCGAUUAUUUCGCCCUGAUUUCGGUUGCAUUUCGGCAAAUCGACAACAUCAACAGAUACUUGGACGGAUGGUCGAUGUUCCUGAUAUUCCGAAAGGCUUCUACCGCAUCCCGCCCUGAUGUCCUUGUUGGGAAUAGCUGCCUGUACACGAUGGCCAUCCGGUUAUAAGCCUGGAAAACUUAACUAAACAUCGCCCGCAUAUUAUCCAGAGUUGUGUGCUGUUGGUUCGAUUUGCUUUUGCUACCGACGUGGAAUGCGCUGGGACUAUGAACUCCUGCAGAGAUGAAAAGCAACGAACCCACAUGUUUUGGCAGGAAGCGCGCUGGACGACA